rnacentral:lncRNA from 1 species
AGCCUUCCUAAGAAAGCAACAACUUGUUAUUGACACUAAGGCUGGCCACUUGGAAAUGAAUUACUCAACGCAUGUCAAGUUGAAGAUGGAUUAUGUUUCUUGGCCCCAGAGGGCAGAAUUAAGAACUAUAGAAUGAAAUUUGGCUCAAUGGCACCGGAAUUCAAAACAAACAACAAAAUAGAUUUGGAUCAAAAGGGGUAUGAGAGAAAGUCUAAUUAAAAAGAAAGACAAGGUAUGAUUCCAUUACAUGUGAAAGAUCUCAAAAGAAGAAUGGAAUAUGUUAGAAGAGUAUAUUCUCUUCCAAAGAAGAAGACUAUACAAGGAGAGGAGGGAAGAAAGUUUAGAUGACCUGGAAUUCAGGGGCAAUGCUCACCAGUACUGAUAGCAUCAACUCUGGAGCAGCCAUGGCUGAUAGCAAGUCCUACUUUGACAGCUGAGAGACACCAAGACAAACUGAACACACUAAGGAAAGACAGCUUAGCUUCAAGACUCUACAUAGAAACCAUCCUUUGGAAAUCCAGCAGAGUUAUGCCCAAAGAGAACCAUUUAAGAAUUGUUUGAAC